GCCUACGGGGCGCAGCAGUGGGGAAUAUUGCACAAUGGGCGAAAGCCUGAUGCAGCGACGCCGCGUGAAGGAUGAAGUAUUUCGGUAUGUAAACUUCUAUCAGCAGGGAAGAAAAUGACGGUACCUGACUAAGAAGCCCCGGCUAACUACGUGCCAGCAGCCGCGGUAAUACGUAGGGGGCAAGCGUUAUCCGGAUUUACUGGGUGUAAAGGGAGCGUAGACGGCAGAGCAAGUCUGAAGUGAAAGCCC
rnacentral:rRNA from 1 species